GCUAGAUCAGUGAAGCUUUAAAAUAAAAACAAUUCUGAGUGUAUAAAUUGAUUCACAAGAGUUUUAACCUAAAUCUCGCGUGCUCUUAUUUCUCCGCAAACCCUAUUCGGCCGCCAUUGAAGCUCUGCUACGAAGCUCUAUUUGUUCACCUACGUAAUACGAGAUGAAGGUUGUUGCUGCGUACUUGCUCGCUGUUUUGGGAGGGAAGACGAGCCCCUCAGCUGCUGACUUGAAGGACAUUCUUGGAUCAGUUGGAGCCGAGGCCGACAGUGACAAGAUUGAGUUGCUGUUGUCCGAAGUCAAGGGAAAAGAUAUCACCGAGCUAAUUGCAUCUGGAAGGGAGAAGUUGGCAUCUGUUCCAUCUGGUGGUGGUGCAGUUGCUUAUUCCGCACCUGCAGCCACCGGUGGUGGUGGGGCUGCUGCUCCUGCCGCUGCUGAGCAGAAGAAGGAGGAGAAGGUGGAAGAAAAGGAAGAAUCAGACGAUGAUAUGGGUUUCAGCCUUUUCGACUGAGGGACUUACUUUUGGUGCGUUUCCUGUAUCAAGACUUGACAUCUUCAGUAUUACUUUCAGACCAAUGCUGUGUUCUUGAGUUUCUAUUUGUAAUUGCUUGCUCGUGGUUUAAUGCGGGUCUGGUUCAUUUAAAUUUUGCGUUACCAUGCCUCUUAUAUCCUGUUGCUCUUUGCUUCGUUAGCUUUGUAUGUAGCGAAAUUCAUCGACCUUUCCUACUUCAUGCAACUUGGUGUUGGACUAAAUCCCUCUUCGUUAUGUA